rnacentral:lncRNA from 10 species
AAAAAAAAAAAAAAAUUGAGAUAGAAUUGUUGAAAUCUUGAACUACAAUUGUGAAUGAUUCAUUUCUCCUUUCAGUUUGCUCAAUUUUGCUUCAUAUAAUUUGAAACUUUGUUAUUAGGUACAUAAAAAUUUACUAUUGUUAUAUCCUCUUAAUGAAUUGACUCUUUUGUCAUUAUGAAGUUACCCUUUUAGUGACUGGCAAUAUUUCUUGCUGUGAAAUCUAGAUUCGUGAUAUGAAUAAAGCCAUUUGCAUCUUUCAGUUAAUUAAUAUUAGCAUGUUAUACAUUUUUCCAUCCUUUUACUUUUUAAAAUGUAGACUUUUUGGGCGCAGUGGCUCAUGCCUGUAAUCCCAGCACUUUGGGAGAAAUUGUCAAUCCUUAAGCAAAAUGUCAA